rnacentral:rRNA from 1 species
CCUACGGGUGGCAGCAGUGAGGAAUAUUGGUCAAUGGACGAGAGUCUGAACCAGCCAAGUAGCGUGAAGGAUGACUGCCCUAUGGGUUGUAAACUUCUUUUAUAUGGGAAUAAAAUGUUCCACGUGUGGGAUUUUGUAUGUCCCAUAUGAAUAAGGACCGGCUAACUCCGUGCCAGCAGCCGCGGUAAUACGGAGGAUCCGAGCGUUAUCCGGAUUUAUUGGGUUUAAAGGGAGCGUAGGUGGAUUGUUAAGUCAGUUGUGAAAGUUUGCGGCUCAACCGUAAAAUUGCAGUUGAAACUGGCAGUCUUGAGUACAGUAGAGGUGGGCGGAAUUCGUGGUGUAGCGGUGAAAUGCUUAGAUAUCACGAAGAACUCCGAUUGCGAAGGCAGUUCACUGGACUGCAACUGACACUGAGGCUCGAAAGUGUGGGUAUCAAACAGGAUUAGAUACCCUAGUAGUC